AUACUUACCUGGCAGGGGAUGAUCACGAAGGUGGUUUUCCCAGGGAGAGGCUCAACUAUUGCACUCCAGGUGUGCUGACCCCAGAGAUUUCCCCAAACGUGGGAAACUCGACUGCAUAAUUUGUGGUAGUGGGGGACUGCGUUCGCAGUUUCCCCCG